rnacentral:rRNA from 18 species
UUUGUACACACCGCCCGUCGCUACUACCGAUUGAAUGGCUCAGUGAGGCCUUCGGACUGGCCCAGGGAGGUCGGCAACGACCACCCAGGGCCGGAAAGUUGGUCAAACUCGGUCAUUUAGAGGAAGUAAAAGUCGUAACAAGGUCUCCGUAGGUGAACCUGCGGAGGGAUCAUUA